rnacentral:lncRNA from 1 species
GUGCUGCUUAUGUCGUCCUCAGGCUGAAGAAUUACAUUCAGGUGUUACACACCAGUUUUGAAUAAAUAGGAGAGCAUAGUGAGAAAGAACUGUAAAGUAUCUGGUAUUCACUCUUCUCUGUUUUCUGCUUCUUGAGUUUUUUUAUUCUUCCCCCAUGCUUUAUUCUGUUGUGAGGCUGAAUUGUAUGCCUGAAGUCUGAGCAGGUGAAGAGGAGUCCUGAAGGUGAAAGUACUGUGAUAAUAACAUAUCUAUCUAACCAUGUGGGCCUCCAGCUCUGGGCAAAGGAACCACUGUGACUUCUUUUGUCACCUGGAGAGGCUAAAUUCCUGUGCCUUGGGGAGCCUGCAACCCCUUCAGGAUGUACUGACAUAACUUCCAGUUGUGUUGAUGAUGGAGAUCGUGCAUACUUUGGAUUUUGAAAUUCCUGACCAUUGGGAAGGAGAUUGCAUAGGAGAAUUUAAAAGACUGGGAGUUUCUGGCUUUAUUUCUGCACUGCUGAUAAGCAGCAAUUUUUGCAGAAGGGGGAGAAGUAACCCUCUGCAAUAAAACCAUUUUCAUAAUACCAUGGGAAUGAGUUAUUGCUUGAGGUGA